ensembl:lncRNA
UCAAGUUUUUACCUGUCUGAAGUCUGCUUUUCACAGACCCUUGGCUCUAUUCCAGAGUUAGAAUAUUUCAUUGGUAGCAAUAUUAUGGGCACUGAUCAUUGUAGAUAAUCUUGUUCUGUGUAUCUAGUAAAAAAGAACGCUUCCUAAAGCAGCAGAGUAGGCAAAGGGAAGGACAAAUGACUGGUGUUGUUAAUAUUAUUAUAGUAGCUUUAAUCUAGAUGGUGUUUAAUUCUAGCCAUUGUCUCUUAAGUUUUCCUCAUGAAAACUUCUAGGUCUUCUUUCUCUAGGUCUUCUUUUUAUAAUAAUCACCUUAAGCUGGUUCUCGGUAAAAGCUCUGAGAACAGAUAGCUCUGAAAGCAUCUUCAGUGUGGGAGAUUAUUCUCUGUGAUAACCAGAAUUGCACGUAGAUCACACAUACUUUUUUUUUUUUUUUUAACAGAUUGAUUGGAGGUUUUAAUUUACAUCCAUGUUGUAUACCUCUUUAUUUCAGGUAUCAGUUUAAAUAAUAGUUCAAAGUUACCAGCAAUCUGUAAUGAAAUAGUAGUAGCUGUGCUGUAUCAUCAAUCCUAAAAUUGAAAGUAAAGGCAAUUCAUAGUAUUUAACUGCUCACAGCUAUUUUUCAUACUAAUAAUAAUGCUUGAAGAGAAAAUUACACUAUGUAGAGUAAUGAAAACCAUACUGCACACAGAAAGGAAGCAUAAAAUAACUCCAUGUUUGAAAAUAAAAAUACUUACACUAGUUUAACAAAACACUGAUGAAUUUUAGCAUCAAGUCCACAGUAUCUUUCAAAAUAAGUAAGUAGGUAUCGUAAGAUAUAUCCUGUUCAUUGGCUGACAUUUUGGAUAAAUUGAACAAAGACAAUAUCAUUAACUAUGUGUAAUUUAAACCGACUUGACUUUAAGGCAAUCUGAUGUUUAAUUACUAGGUAAGUGAAUUAACUAUGUAUUUCCCUUCCACAUUUAUUUUUGAUAAGAUUAUAAUUAUAGAUGUUUAAUUAAAAGGUCAUUACUUUUGGGCCAGAGUUAAACCAUUACACUGAGGUAAACACGCAAGUGCUACCAAUAUAUUCUAUAUAUGAAACAAAAUUGUUUUGAAAAAUGGAGAUUGAAGAUAAAUUAAGGAUUAUGGAGGGACUGCAGGAAGACUGAGUUUCUUUAGGAUGCUUUAAAACACAGUCUUUAUCCUUCACAUUCCUUUCCCACCAUCCCUUUCCUAGAAUCCUGGUAAGGAUGAUGUCACAUCACAUCUGACUAAGGUCAUGGUCAUGACACAUCUCUUAAGCUGCUCUCUUGGACUGUUGGUAUUCCAUUUCUUCUACCACCUCUUUCUAGAAGAAAACAUUUGUAUUUACUUUCAAACAGGUGCUGGAAAAGAUGGGAAGUCACUUCUCAAAGAUUUUUAUCUGAAAAAAGACCAGUGGUAAUAGAUAGAGCUCCUCAACGGCAAAAGAAACUGGAAGUGGGAAGUGCUCGGUUACAUAUGCUGCCUCUCUUUAAAUGUUUUCACCUAGCAGGAAAUGAGAAAGUAGCUUAAUAUUUGUAUUCAUGAGUGCUCUGAUAUAUUUGUCUGAAUCUGCUUUAUCUUAACUGUCAGCAAACUGCUAAGCAAGGUCAUGAUUGUAUUCACCAGUAAUUCGGAAGUGAGCAAUCAGAAUUGACUUCUUACAUGUAAUUAUGCCCAGGAUAUAUAUUUAAGUUAUCUGUAAUGUUCCUUCUAUAGCUGCAAUUCCACCUCACAUGCUGUAUCUCUUCCUGCAGACCCUUUGGUAACUGACAGAGGGAGACUGGUUGGAACAAUGAUCAAGAAAAGAAUAAGCAGCUAAACUAAACUGGAACUUUAAAAAUAAUUUGCACUUUCCUCACGUCCUUUGUUUGCCCUUUGGCCAGCAGUGGUUCUUCCAGUUUUUUUUACUAACUGAUCUGGAAGAAUUUAAAGGUCUAUGAACACAUCGGCUAUCUACAUCGUGGGAAUACAUGAAAGACAGAUUAGAGCAGAAGCUGUGGAGCAAGAUAAAAGGCAUGAGAAAGGAAUGCUGAGAACCUAGCACACCUCCAGAGGAGAAAAAAAAAAAAAAAAAAAAAAAAAAAAAAAAAAAAAAAGCCAAGUGUACUGCGGGAUUGUCACAUGGUAACAACCCUGACUGGAGGAAGAGCAAGUGGCUAGGAAUGACUCAUGACCCUGAUUGGAUAAGCGUCUGCAUGCACGGUUAAGGAGUGUUUGUUGAUGUGUAAAGGAAUGUGGGAAAGCUACAUGAGGAAAAUUGGAAAUGUAUGAACUAUUUGGAUUGUUCACAUGAGUCCAUGCCUCAGAUGCUACACCACAUGGGUUUAUCUUUCCAGAGAAUAAAUUUUAUCCCUCUC